GGGGGUGUAGCUCAGUGGAAGAGUGUUUGAUGGCAGCUUAAAAGGUCCCAGGUUCAAAUCCUGAUUUCUCCU
rnacentral:tRNA from 1 species